rnacentral:lncRNA from 12 species
CAGGACUGGAAAUUCCAGCAUAUAAAGAAUUACAAUAAUCCAAUCGAGAUAAAACUAUUUGAGUUUAAAUGUAAUGCAGCCUUUGACCUUCAUUAUUUGAAGCUGAAAAGGGUUGACGUUUUCAAGAGUGUAUGCAACGAGCGAACCUUUUAAAAAUAUAUGUCAUAUAACUCGCACAUCCUCUAGUCCUGUCCGUGAUGAAAGAGUGCUGUUUGAGGAACAUUUUCCCGGGAUCUGGCGACCGCUCUCCUCAUGAAUGAAAGUGAAAGUAAUGAACAGAGUUGAUGCGGCCAUUUUAAACAGACAGAAUCGAUGAUCUACAACACAUUAUAUAUUUAAAUCUUUAAUAGAAUCGCUAAUAAAUGCUAAAGCAGGAGUUUGUGUGGAGUUACCGGAUGGGAAUGUGAAUCGUCAGUGGAGAUCAAACUGUUCAGAUCCAUCAUGGAUGAAACACAAACUUCUGGAGAUGAAGAUUUGUUUCCAGCACACAGCUCAAUUUAUCAGAAGAGAUCAGAAGCAGAGUUCAGCUGUGUGUCUGUGAAGAGUGAUGUGUCUAUGAUUGAACCAAUGAAGUUUAACAGUGGAGAUUCACAGCCUGAUCUCAGCUCAGUUCAUCAGAAGAGAUCAGAAGCAGAGUUCAGCUGUGUGUCUGUGAAGAGUGACGUGUCUAUGAUUGAACCAAUGAAGUUUAACAGUGGAGAUUCACAGCCUGAUCUCAGUUCAGUUCAUCAGAAGAGAUCAGAAGCAGAGUCCAGCUGUGUGUCUAUGAAAACUGAUGCAUCUAUGAUUCAACCAAUAAUCUUUAACAGUGGAGAUACACGGCCUGAUCUCAGGUAUAAUAUUUCUGUAAGAGAUAUGAUCUGAACAUGU